rnacentral:rRNA from 1 species
AGUGAACGCUGGCGGUAGGCCUAACACAUGCAAGUCGAACGGCAGCACAGUAAGAGCUUGCUCUUACGGGUGGCGAGUGGCGGACGGGUGAGGAAUACAUCGGAAUCUACUUUUUCGUGGGGGAUAACGUAGGGAAACUUACGCUAAUACCGCAUACGACCUACGGGUGAAAGCAGGGGAUCUUCGGACCUUGCGCGAUUGAAUGAGCCGAUGUCGGAUUAGCUAGUUGGCAGGGUAAAGGCCCACCAAGGCAACGAUCCGUAGCUGGUCUGAGAGGAUGAUCGGCCACACUGGAACUGAGACACGGUCCAGACUCCUACGGGAGGCAGCAGUGGGGAAUAUUGGACAAUGGGCGCAAGCCUGAUCCAGCCAUACCGCGUGAGUGAAGAAGGCCUUCGGGUUGUAAAGCCCUGUUGUUGGGAAAGAAAAGCAGCAGAUUAAUACCCGGCUGUUCUGACGGUACCCAAAGAAUAAGCACCGGCUAACUUCGUG